GUGCCAUUUCUUUCUAAUUAUUUGUGAAUUUUACUAGCAACUUCAGAGUGAAAAUGCUUCAAAGUUAAUCCUGCACCAGUUUUUCUCCUCAGCGAGAAAGCAGAGCACACUCACAGCACUGUUUCUAUACGUGGCUCUUUUGAACAGAGAUUGGAAGUGAGUAUAAUUGUGGUGGGAGUCAUAAUCCGUGCGAUGAAAGGCCGGGAAUGAAAACACGCGACAGGGGCCAAAAAGAAUCUCAGUCCGGCCGCCUCCGUGCACAAUAUGGGCUCUCAUACAGCGGGGCCGGGCCAUAAACCACACUGCGUUAUUCACUGCGCUCUUAACACCCACAGACCUAAUAAAAGAUGACUGUCUGUGCCUCCCUCGCUCCCCUCUUCUGCCUCGUACUGCUAUUUUUCUCCAUGACAUGCUCUUCCACCCAGAGGUGCCCCAUAAAUCUGUGCUGUAAUGUCAGGCGACUGCUGUUUGUGUGUCUUUCACACACUCGCUCCGAUGAGACUUUGAUCCUUAAAGCCGUUAUGAAUCUAGCACAUAAACGGCUGUUUCUCCCGGACACUUUAAGUGCCGCUCUGCGCCGCUCUAGACGUCGGGACGGAAGUCCCAUCGGGGGGGAGAGUCUGCGGAGGCUUAGCUGUCUGUGGAGAAGCGGCCCGUGACAGAGGAUGUUUACGGGCGGAUGCAUUUCACUCAUGCUGAAACUAUCAGUUGUCCAAAACUAUUUGGAUUUGUUUAGUUUUAUAAAUCGAUAGCCUUUAUAAAUUUCAGAAGACAAAUAAAAGUUAUAUAAUAAAUAUAUAUUAAAAGCACCUACCAAAAACAAGCAAGUGCUCCAUGAAUAAUACUAACAUAAUAUUUAAAUGUUAAAAUACUUAUACAUAAUGAUAGUAUGUUAUACUGCCUUUAAUGCCUAUGAUGAUUUUAAUAAUUUUAAGAUUUUUUAAGUAAUUGUAUUAAAGUAAUUUUUCUUACUACAGUAAAAAUAUGCCAUUAGUGUAAACUAUUUUAAAUUACAUGCACAAUGAAAAAAUAAAUAAACUCAAAUGAAGGCAUUGCAGUAUUGAAAACUUGCAUCGCAUUUGGGGGUGGGGGUGCUAAUUGUCAUUAAAAUAAUGUCAAAAUAAUAAUUUAAAAAUCCUAAUAGUUCUAAAACUUUAAAAAUGUUUUAAAUUCAUAUAAAAAACUUUAUAUAAAAAGUACAAUUCUCUGCCAACAAACAUGCAAGUGACUCCAAUAAACCACACAUAUACAUAAUCAUAGUACUUGUUAUACUGCCUCAAAUACAUGCUGAUUUUGUAAUAAUUGUAUAAAUAAUUGUAUUAGCAGAAUUGUAUUCUGCUAACAAACAUGCAAAUGACUCCAAUAAACAACUAUGCAUCAAGGUAUUACCACUGUGACAAACAGAAGGUUCUGAUUAGUAUUAUUAGUAUUAUUGAUAUUGUAUUAUUAUUUGCUAAAUUUUAUUGCCUUUAACAAUGCAAAACAUAAUAAGGUCUAAAGACGCCCCAAAACACACAAAGCAUUCUUACAACUGGUUUCCAGGGAAUAUAUUCUGCUGUUGUGUUGAACUUAGUGAGAGCGAGCAUGACUGAAACUGUGAGUCAGCAGACACACACUCCGUGUCUCACACUCUGUGGUUGGCCAGAAAAUAUCAUGCGGUCACACUCCAACUCUAUAACCCGUCUCACUGCGGCACAGACACCAUUCUCACCCUAGUGCUGCCAGCAAAAACACACUCACUCACAAACACACACACACAAAUCUCUGACUCUCAUAAUGCAGGUCAAGAACAUGUCCAGAAAGAAAGAAAUAAUAUAUAUAUUUUUUUUCAAUAAAUAUCCUAUUUGUAGGAACUUUUUUUGUUGUUGUUCAAUU
rnacentral:lncRNA from 1 species